UGAUGUCAUGUGUAUGAUUGAGU
rnacentral:snRNA from 1 species